AAAUUUAAAAUUUUCAAAUUUUAACUUUUAAAUUUAAAAAUUUUAAACUUUAAAAUUUAAAUUUUAAAAUUCAAAUUUGUAUUUUAAAUACUAAAUUUUUAAUUAAUAUUUUAAAUUUAUAAAUUUCAUAUUUAUAUUUUAAAUUAAAAUAUUAAAAUUUGUAUUUUUUUUCUUCAAAUUUAAACUUUAAAAAUUUUAAAAAUUUGAAUUAUUUAAAAUAAAAUUUAGUACAAAAAUAUUAUUAUAUAACUAAGGGCAAUUUUUGAAUAGACUAUACUUUAUUGUCAAGAUUACUAAAUUUUAUAAACUGAACCAAAUUUAGUAAUGUUAUAAAUAUUACAAUCCAUUAUUAUAUUACUGUAUUAAACCAAACGCGUUAAAUAUUAAUGCAGCAUCAAUAGUAAUUUUAUUUAGAAAUCUAAAACAUUUGAAUAUAUUGAAAUGCUAUAUAAUAUUAUAUAACUCGAACCAAACGCGUCCUCGGUGCCAUGUGUUAUCUCAUGUCUAUACAUCUUUGAAAUGUUAUGAAUUAGAACUUUUCCAGAUAGA
rnacentral:lncRNA from 1 species